rnacentral:rRNA from 1 species
UUCCGGUUGAUCCUGCCGGAGGCCAUUGCUAUCGGGGUCCGAUUUAGCCAUGCUAGUCGCGCGGGUUCAGACCCGCGGCGAAUAGCUCCGUAACACGUGGUCAAGCUACCCUGCAGAGGAGGACACCCUCGGGAAACUGAGACUAAUACUCCAUAACGCUUCACACCUGGAAUGGUCGAAGCCGGAAAUGCCCCGGCGCUGCAGGAUGCGACUGCGGCCGAUUAGGUAGACGGUGGGGUAACGGCCCACCGUGCCGAUAAUCGGUACGGGUUGUGAGAGCAAGAGCCCGGAGACGGAAUCUGAGACAAGAUUCCGGGCCCUACGGGGCGCAGCAGGCGCGAAACCUUUACACUGCACGCACGUGCGAUAAGGGGACCCCGAGUGCGAGGGCAUACAGUCCUCGCUUUUGUGUACCCCAAGGAGGUACACGAAUAAGAGCUGGGCAAGACCGGUGCCAGCCGCCGCGGUAAUACCGGCAGCUCAAGUGAUGGCCGAUCUUAUUGGGCCUAAAGCGUCCGUAGCUGGUCGCGUCGGUCCGUCGGGAAAUCCACCCGCUCAACGGGUGGGCGUCCGGCGGAUACCACGUGACUUGGAACCGGAAGGCCCGAGGGGUACGUCCGGGGUAGGAGUGAAAUCCCGUAAUCCUGGACGGACCACCGAUGGCGAAAGCACCUCGGGAAGACGGAUUCGACAGUGAGGGACGAAAGCUGGGGUCUCGAACCGGAUUAGAUACCCGGGUAGUCCCAGCCGUAAACGAUGCCUGUUAGGUGUGGCACCCGCUACGAGCGGGUGCUGUGCCGUAGGGAAGCCGCUAAACAGGCCGCCUGGGAAGUACGUCCGCAAGGAUGAAACUUAAAGGAAAUUGGCGGGGGAGCACUACAACC